GCCCGACCUCCGACUCCGAGAACCUAACAGCUACCUAGUUACCUCCUCUCGCUACUGAUCCUCCAAGCUUAGCAAGCUACAAGCUAAUCCGCCUAUCUGCCUCGCUCGCUAGCUAGCCAGCAAGUUCCGGCGUGCACGCGGCGGGGCGCCGCCGAGCGAUCGAUCUCACCGAGCUGCGUUGGCUGCGGCGGAGGCGCACGCAACCAUAUAUAAACCUUGGGUUGGUGGCUUAAUGAUCGAGAGGAAGAUGGCUCGGCCGAUGCGCCAUGGUGGUGUCCAUGGGAGAGGGGGGAAGACAGACAGGCGCAAGCGGUU
rnacentral:lncRNA from 1 species